rnacentral:rRNA from 1 species
AGAAUCAACGCUGGCGGCGUGCCUAACACAUGCAAGUCGCACGAGAAAGGGACUUCGGUCCUGAGUAAAGUGGCGCACGGGUGAGUAACACGUGAAUCAUCUACCUCCGAAUGGGGAAUAACUGAGAGAAAUCUUAGCUAAUACCGCAUAAUACCUACGGGUCAAAGCAGCAAUGCGUUUGGAGAGGAGUUCGCGGUCGAUUAGUUAGUUGGCGGGUAAUGGCCCACCAAGACGAUGAUCGAUA